rnacentral:rRNA from 1 species
UACGGAGGGUGCAAGCGUUGUCCGGAUUUAUUGGGUUUAAAGGGUGCGUAGGCGGCCCGUUAAGUCAGUGGUGAAAGCCUCCAGCUCAACUGGAGAACUGCCAUUGAUACUGACGGGCUUGAGUACAGACGAGGUUGGCGGAAUUGAUUGUGUAGCGGUGAAAUGCAUAGAUACAAUCAAGAACUCCGAUUGCGUAGGCAGCUAACUAGGCUGUAACUGACGCUGAGGCACGAAAGCGUGGGGAGCGAACAGGAUUAGAUACCCUGGUAGUCCACGCUGUAAACGAUGAUUACUCGAUGUCGGCGAUAAACUGUCGGCGUCUUAGCGAAAGCGUUAAGUAAUCCACCUGGGGAGUACGCCCGCAAGGGUGAA